rnacentral:rRNA from 1 species
AUUGAACGCUGGCGGCGUGCCUAAUACAUGCAAGUCGAACGCAGUGGGGACGGGUGAGUAACACGUGGGUAACCUCCCAUCAGAGGGGAUAACACUUGGAAACAGGUGCUAAACCGAUACUGAUGGAUGGACCCGCGGUGCAUUAGCUAGUUGGUGGGGUAACGGCUCACCAGGGCCACGAUGCAUAGCGGACCGGAGGGGGGGAUCGGCCACACGGGACCGAAGACACGGCCCAGACUCCUACGGGGGGCAGCAGUAGGGAAUCUUCGGCAAUGGACGAAAGUCUGACCGGGCAACGCCCGUGAGUGAAGAAGGUUUUCGGAUCGUAAAGCUCUGUUGUUAGAGAAGCGGUAUCUAACCAGAAAGCCACGGCUAACUACGUGCCAGCAGCCGCGGUAAUAC